GUACACUCCUACGGGAGGCAGCAGUGGGGAAUUUUGGACAAUGGGCGAAAGCCUGAUCCAGCCAUGCCGCGUGCAGGAUGAAGGCCUUCGGGUUGUAAACUGCUUUUGUACGGAACGAAACGGCCUUUUCUAAUAAAGAGGGCUAAUGACGGUACCGUAAGAAUAAGCACCGGCUAACUACGUGCCAGCAGCCGCGGUAAUACGUAGGGUGCAAGCGUUAAUCGGAAUUACUGGGCGUAAAGCGUGCGCAGGCGGUUAUGUAAGACAGUUGUGAAAUCCCCGGGCUCAACCUGGGAACUGCAUCUGUGACUGCAUAGCUAGAGUACGGUAGAGGGGGAUGGAAUUCCGCGUGUAGCAGUGAAAUGCGUAGAUAUGCGGAGGAACACCGAUGGCGAAGGCAAUCCCCUGGACCUGUACUGACGCUCAUGCACGAAAGCGUGGGGAGCAAACAGGAUUAGAUACCCUUGUAGUCCCAUGA
rnacentral:rRNA from 1 species